AGUGGUCGAGGGAGGGAGGUAUCGGCCGCCAGUCGCUCUAAGUGUCGGUGACUGGGGGGGAGGAGUACAGCUUAGACCGGCGUCUUCACCGGCUCUUCCGGGAGCUCGAGCCGUACGAGCGCGGUCGCGCGAGAUCCGAGGUAGCCUCCGCCUGCGCCUCCGCGUCCUGAGGUCCGGAGAGGAGACGGGACGAGGAAGAAGCUUAGGUCAGCGGAUUCACGAGCUCCUCCGCGAGCUCGAACCGUACGAGCAACCGCUGUGGCCCGGGGAGGGAGGAGGACAACGGAGCGGCGGCGGUACUCGGGGAGGUGGGAGAGGACACACUAACAUGUCGAGGUCCAUUCAGAGAGAGAGGCUGGGCUGGCGGACUACGUUCGAAACAACUGCUCCUCUCUUUUUUGUUAGGGGGUUGACCACUAUUCUACCCACGACUACAUGAAGUAUGCUAAAGAAGGAAAGGUCCGUCAGACAACCGUGUUACUUAUUACAGACGAGAAGCUGACCUCGUCAAGAAGGGACAACCAUUAGUCUCCUAUGUACGAUGAUUAAGAAGUUGACUUUAAUUAAAAGUCAAACUAGGUUCUCGUUUAGUACUUGGAGUUCAAAAGAAUCGUGGAUACGGUUUCUCUUCUUCCAAUCAAAGAAAGUUCUUACUUUCUUGACCAUGGUUUCCUUGACGACAGUCAUUUUCUGUAAUACCCUUCGUUCGACUGUGGGGUGGCGUUGGACACGGAUUUCGUUUACUUCGUUCACGUCCCCGGUUGGGAAAAGAUACCUCGUAUUAAAGUUCGAGUAGUUGGUUGUAUUGGAAACCGUGAUUAUCGUUAGCGUGUAUAACACCUGUCGAAGUGUUACACAGGGAGUGACUCUUUAGUGGUACUUACAAGGGAAAGUUCAGUGAAGUAUUCAACAAGACAAUAACCCGAAACAAUCUAUUCGACUAAAUUGAUUCAUAAUAAGACGAGAUCUAACAACGAAGACCAACACUCACUUAGAUUCUCAAUUGUACCAUGUUAUAGAAGAGCUUCUACUACAUAAGGAAGUAUUUUUUCCUACAAGCUCUUCAAUAAUAACUUCUCCUCAAGUCAGAGUACACUAAGAGUUCUCGAUUUUACCUUGUUCUUCACGUCCGGAGAGUACAGAUGUGAUUGAUUAGUCUUUUUUGCACCAUAGUCUUUUCCCGCUUAUCCCCUUCUUAGUUGUAUCUAUAACAGGGCCAAAAUAGGGCAGGACCUCGAUGUUCUUCCGACCCACUUCAGAUGCUACCCAAGAAAAGGUUCGUUUCUCUUCCGACUCCGCUGAGACCAGAUGUCGAUGUUCUUGCGGUAGUCGUCCAAGCCCUGCUUCGAGUGCGGGCGCGUUCAGCGGCACAACUCCUCACUCAAGGGGAGAACGACAAUACGAGACGAGAGUGUCAGUUGACUUAGGGAAAUCAAUCGU
rnacentral:rRNA from 1 species